rnacentral:misc_RNA from 1 species
CGUGUCUCUCUCUCUCUUCUCUCUCGGCACACAUCUGCACCCGAACAGGUCGACGCAUGCACACGCGCACACACCCACACACACACACACACAUCGUGCACUUGCCGGUAUUCUUUGCAGUGGACUCUGCCUGCUCGCCAUCUCGCCAGUCUUGGUGCCCGCUGUUGCCCCCUUUUGUCACCCGCUGUCAGUCUCCCAACACCGCCGCUGCCUUGGACUAUUUGCGCGUGUGCUUUUGGGGUUGCAUGGGCGUAUGUAGACAUGUCUAAAGGGUUCGAGGUUUAUCCACUGACGGGGUCGCACAAGGAGGUGGUCAUCAAUGAGGCUCUAAUUCGUAGCGCCAUAUCAUUCAAGCCGUCGUUAACGACUGAGGAUGAUCGUGUUCGCGUCGUUGGUAACCAGGAAAAGGCGCUCAGUGAGGAGAAGGUGCGGAAGGAGGCGGCUGGCAUCGCGUUGGAGGACGUUCAGACGCUUCUUCUCUCCUUUCGUGGCAUUAAGCGUCUCGAAAACCUGAGCUGCCUGCGCUCCCUGACAAAACUGCACCUGGACAACAACCGAAUCCGUUGUAUCGAGAACCUCGAAAGCCUCGUGCACCUUGAUGGCUGGAUUUGAGCUACAACGCCAUCGAAGUGAUCGAUGGGUUGCAAGCGCUACAGCAUCUCAACUGCUUGUCUCUCUACGCUAAUAAAAUUACGGCCGUAGAUGGGCUCACGUGCCUACCAGAGCUGAACACACUUAGUCUCGGUCGCAACCCGCUGGAGAACAUGGAUGAGACCGUGCAUUAUCUGCACCACCUGCCACGCCUACAGGUGCUGACGCUGAAGGAGUGCCCGUUAGCUGCUUUGCCGAACUACCGAUCUCGAGUACUUGCGUUUGUGCGUGGGCUGAAGUUCUUUGAUGGGCACCUCGUGAGGCAAGAUGAGGCUGCGAAAGCGCGCGAGGCAUUUCGCGAGAAUUUGCUUACGGUGGACGAGGAAGACGAAGCCCGCGCCGCAGCGGCGAAGUUGCAGGCGGAUCAAGAGAUCAUCGCAUCAUCUUAUCAGCAGUACAACUGCCCGAAUGAAGUGAUGCUCUUUGACGAGCUACUCCACCUCGACCCUGAAGGUCGCCACAUGGAGGCCAUCCUCCGAAGCGAUGCGGUGUUCCCGGUUGCAAAGGAGCCACUGGACAGGUAUCAGACCGAGUUCAACGAGCAAGUGAGGCAGCUCACCGCUGCCAUGAAGGAUAUCCGCGAACGCCGCGACGCGGAUGACGCGACCUAUCGCGAGGCGUCGCCUACACGCUGCGCCAAAGCGCUGCUUCUUCGCUGGCCGCCAUGCAGCGUUUCGAGGCGCUCGCGAAGAGGCACAUUGUCAAAGGCGUCGCCCAGCAGGUGCCCGGCUCGGCGAAGCGGCUUCCCUGUCAAACGACCAGGUCUCUGCACGCAGCGCUGGGCAAGCUGAAGAAAGAUCUUUUAGAAGAAGAGGCUCAUCAUUACGACGUGCUCGAAGUUCUGCACAACAACACCAUCGCCAAGUGGAAGUCACAUUCGGUAGAAGUAGUGCUCCAGAGCUCUUUUGAAGCGCUGCUUCGCCUCGAGACGGACUUUCAGUUGACGGUGAGGCACAUCUUCGAUGCUGUCUUUGAGGAGCGGCGCAAAGGCGACAAUGCGGAGCGGGCGUUUCGCUAUGUGGGCCAGGACGAUGCCAUGCUUGCUUUUCUCGAUAACAAGGAGGAGUAUCAGCGCACCGUGAACGAGUGGUAUGAGCUUCGACGCAAGCGUGUCGAAGAGCUUGAAAUGCACCACCUCAAGGCCGAGGAAACCUUGCUGAGCGCACGCACAAACUCUAUUUUAGCCGCAGAGCAAGACCGCCACCGACGGCGCGUGCAUGAGGUGUGCCAAUACGUGGAGGAGAUGUCGAAGAUGAUAGACGGGUGUGAUCAUUGAGGGUGUGGCGCGUCGUUUUGCUGCUUUCAUCCACCACCGCGCAGAGGCACGCUGUCCUUUUUUCACUCACACCAGAUAAAUGCCGACUUUUAGUCUAUGCUUUGCACUUGUGUCACUGAUGGCUAUCCGGCACUCGGCAGAUGUACCAUCACGUCUUUUUGUGUGCACCUUCUUCGUGGGUAUCUGUUCUCGCACUUCUUCCCGUUUAUGAGCCUGUGGCUUCAGUCUUUUUUUUUUUCUUGGCUGCCUGACCACUGCUUUCGUUUCUCUCGAUUUGUGAGAUGUACAUUAGAUUGUGCGUGUUUCUUCCCUUCGCCCGCGGGUUCGUGUUGUGUGCCCGUGUGCAGCGAGCUAAUGUGGCACGUUGAGAAACG